GACGAACGCUGGCGGCGUGCUUACACCUUGCCGUCCGGCGGUAAGGGCCUUUCGGGUUAACCAGCGGCGAACGGGGGAAUAACACGGGGGUGAUCUGGCCCUCACUUCGGGGUUAGCCUGGGAAACUGGGUCCUAUACCGGAAAUUACCUUCCAUUCCAUGGUGGGUGGGGGGAAGGGUUAAUGGUUCAGGAUGGGCCCGCGGCCUAUCAGCUUGUUGGUGGGGUAAUGGCCUACCAAGGCGACGACGGGUAGCCGACCUGAGAGGGUGACCGGCCACACUGGGACUGAGACACGGCCCAGACUCCUACGGGAGGCAGCAGUGGGGAAUAUUGCACAAUGGGCGAAAGCCUGAUGCAGCGACGCCGCGUGAGGGAUGACGGCCUUCGGGUUGUAAACCUCUUUCAGCAGGGACGAAGCGCAAGUGACGGUACCUGCAGAAGAAGCACCGGCUAACUACGUG
rnacentral:rRNA from 1 species